UCCUCCAAACUCAUUUGUUCAGCUUAUGGGCCUCUAAUACACAAAGUGCUUGCAGUUACAAGAUUGAUUUCUAGUCUUGUAUUUAAAACUUGCCAGGAAAAGAACUAGUCAGCAUCUCCAAGGAAGUAUUCUCUUUUGGGGUCAAAAUCUUGUGUGCUGCUUCAUAGUCUCCCUUGCCUGCUUUGGCUAUUAAGGUUGUACUUUUAUACAGGGAGAGGUGAACUGCUUUGCUUUUGCACAUCAAUAGCAGAUGUCAGGGCUCUGACAGCUGAUUUCCCACUGGAAGAAAAAUUUGUGACACAGACCAUAGGAAUCAUCUUUCUUAGCAGACUUCUCUAUUAAAUACAUGAGACUUUGAACAAAUGUACAGACUGAUGAUAUUGCAGGAAAUAACCCUUCUCCAGAAAUUUCAAUCUGGAAGUCAGUGUUUUGCUUUCAGAAAACAACUUUAUCUUUGAAGUUCCUACCAACUAAAGAUGCAGUGUUACAGGGCUACUAACACCUCAUUUCUCAAAGUCUGUGUUCUGCUUCUGUACAGAGGAAAGCUUCAAGUAAUUGAAGAGACUUGUGUGCAAGGAGGCAUUAUAAUCAUAUGAGGGUGGGUCUCAGAAAUGGACAGUAAUGAACACUGUUUUGGAGCAUGGGCUUCCUGAACUGUCUUGUAUGUAUUGUGCUGUAGAUAUUCCCUUUGUGAAAGUACUGUUUGAAUGAUGCAGGAGUGACUUCCUUAGUCUCCCUUCUGCCCAGACCUACCUCAUCUUUGAAGAUGUGUGCUGGAAUUUCUUGUUUCAAGUGUUUUUUGGGGUGGGUUUAUUUUUGGGUUGUUUUUUUGGUUUUUUGUUUUCUUUUUUUUUAAAGGAAAGGGAAUGAAAGUUUUUUGAGGUAAGAAUUUGUGUCUCAUUCUCUUCUGAAUUCUCUCUCAGGGAGAACAUGGCGGGAGGAGGAAGAAGCUCAGCUCAGUGGAUGCAGACUGGUGUGGGAGGCUUCCUGUUACUGACGUGUAAAGUGGGCAAAAUUAGAUUUGUGGCUUUUAUUGUGGGUGUCUAGUUUGUUUCACUUUCCAGUUCACAAGAGUUGAGGAAUGUAUGAUAAGAACCUAACUUUCCUUCCCUCAAGAAAACAGCAACUCUACAUUGAAACUUAACAAGAUAAAAAGGAAAACAGAAGAUAAUAAAUACAAGCUAAAAUGGCAAUCUAACUGUUGUGGGAUUCUACAUGAAAAACACUAUGGACAAAUUAUAUGGACGUGUGAGCAAAGCCUGAUGUCUUCAUUACUGUGAGUGAGACUUCCCACUGCUCUGAUAUGGCAGCUCUGUCCUUGGGUGUCCUGGAGAUUCCUUUGAGCAAGGCAGUGGUGUUGACU